CUGCCCGGCCGGCCCAGGCGGGGCUGCGGGACCAGCCUUCGAGCUGCACCCCCUCGGCGGCAGCUGAGAGCGGGCGGGGCGGAGAAGGAAACUGGGCGGCGCCCCCACCCCGCGCUCCGCGGCUGGCGGUCGACGCUCGGGGGCAUUCGUUUCCGGGGGGGGGGCAAGCGGAGUCGGUGGGGCCUCGAAAGCCCCCAGGGACGGACUCGCGCUGCAAGCGGGCAAACGGCGCGCCUCCAGUCUCGGCCGGGGGCGGGGCGCCGGGCGCCGGGGGAUCCUGGGGGCCGGGGGGUCCUCGGGAUCCCGGGGCCGGAGGCUCGCGCGUCGCGAGUGUCUGCAGACGCGGGUGGGAAGAUGCUCGUCGCUGCGCGAGGUGACGAGGGUUCCAGCGGGAAGGGGCUCUCGGACGCACGUGGAGUGGAUUUAAGCACACGUGUCAAAAAGACCAGCGUUUUUACGAGUGUUCCUUGCUUGUCUAGUUGCGAACAGUGUUAUGUUAGUGAACGGAUGUGUGGGCACUUCUGUAAUAUGCGUAGGGAAGUGUCUAGAAACACAGGUAAAGACGACGUUUCUGAGUGUUACUUGAAAGAAAAAGAGAGAAAGAUUCCUGUCUGGGAGCGCGCCCCCGGCCCGGCUGCGCCCACGCGUGGCUCUGGGCUGCUUCCACUGUCACUUAAACAUAUUUUUAACUUUUGACCUCCUCUUUGACCCGCGGUGUAAUUUCAGUUCCAAAUAUUUGCGGAUUUUCCAGCUCAUUCUGUGAUGUCUAGUUUAAUUCAGUUCCGUUCUGAGAACGUGCUUUGUAUGCUUUUCACUCCCUGAUCUUCCUUUUUAUCGCACCCCCCGCCCUCCCGCCGUGCGCACCUGGUUCCUCUUUCCUGCUUUAUUUUUCUUCUUCUUCUUCUUUUUUUUUUGCUUAUGACGAUCUAACCGAACUUCUGAAAUAUUUGCCUUAUUUAUUUUAUUGCUUAUCUCCUUCCGUCUUGCUACUCCCAAAGGUAGAGAUUCUUUUCUUUCUUUUUUGUUCACCGAUGUAUCUGCAAUACCUAGAACAGAGCCUAACACACAGUAGGUGGUCAACACAUAUCUGUUGAAUGGAUGAGGAACAACUGAAUGCCCAGUCCCCAUUGGGCGUGUCAGGAGGCCGUUGCUCAGAGCUGUUCUCUGCCCCUGAGGUCACAGGGCAAGAACGCGGCAGAACGGGGUUGCCUGGGCCCAUGGCCUUGUGUUGUACCCAGUUGGUGGCACUGGAUUCGACCUGCAAUCCCUGGGCGCCUCCUGCGCGCCUGGUCCUGAAGGACGGCCUUGCACGUGCCGCUGUCACUCACCCAGCGAGAGCAUCCAGUCUUCACGGCACGUACCUUGCCCCGGGCCCCCACCUGCAGAGGCGCCCUUGGCGGGCAGAGGUGCUGUCAGUUCUCUGGGUUGGGUACCCCCGCGUGCCCCCCACCCCACCCCCGCGUCCAUGGGGAGCCCGAGGCUCCGUGUGUGCGCUCGGAGAGCAUCCUUGCUUCCUUCUCAGCCGUGCAGGGUCGCUGUGGAGGACGGAGCAGCCGCACCUCUGCCGCGCGCGGGUCCCAUCAGCAGCCCGCCAGUACGUAGCUGUAGAUUCUAGCUGUGAGUGCCUCUGGCUGUGCCAUGUGGGAUGCGCCUCAGCGUGGCCUGAUGAGCGGUGCCAUAUCCCUGCCUAGGAUCCAAACCGGGGAACUCCCUGGCGGCCAAAGCGGAGCGCCGGCACUUAACCACUCGGCUGCGGGCCGGCUCCCAGACUUUCUUUACCUCAAGAUAAAUUGUAUAUUACUGCAAUAUUUUAAAAAAUAAGAAUAAAUGGAAAAGGCCAUGAUGAGCAAAAUAUCAAAAGUUUAAAUAAAGACAGACACUGUUUUUCUCUCAG